AUUGAACGCUGGCGGCAUGCCUUACACAUGCAAGUCGAACGGUAACAGGUCUUCGGAUGCUGACGAGUGGCGAACGGGAGAGUAAUACAUCGGAACGUGCCCGAUCGUGGGGGAUAACGAAGCGAAAGCUUUGCUAAUACCGCAUAAGAUCUACGGAUGAAAGCAGGGGACCGCAAGGCCUUGCGCGAACGGAGCGGCCGAUGGCAGAUUAGGUAGUGGGUGGGAUAAGAGCUUACCAAGCCGACGAUCUGUAGCUGGUCUGAGAGGACGACCAGCCAGACUGGAACUGAGACACGGACCAGACUCCUACGGGAGGCAGCAGUGGGGAAUUUUGGACAAUGGGCGAAGGCCUGAUCCAGCCAUGCCGCGUGCAGGAUGAAGGCCUUCGGGUUGUAAACUGCUCUUGUACGGAAAGAAAAGACUCUUUCUAAUAAAGAGGGUCCAUGACGGUACCGUAAGAAUAAGCACCGGCUAACUACGUGCCAGCCGCCGCCGUAACAC
rnacentral:rRNA from 1 species